UUGUCAAUGAAUUUUAUACUACUUGUUUAUGCAUGCCAUGUGUCUGAUAACUUUCUUUGUCCAUGGUCAGGGUAAGAAAAGGGCAACAAUUCCUAGUCUGAAUCAAAUCCGAGUCUUUCGAAGGCUUAAUCUUAGUUCUUCGCAAGAUCUACCUUUCUCUUUCUCUUUUAGAUCUCAUUGAUUCACAAAUGAACCCGACGAUUCCACCCAAGCUUCCUUUAGUUCUUAAUUCUAUAUUUCAGAUCUCUCUCAUUUGAUUCAAAAUUUCAGGAGUCUGGACUUGAAGUUGAGAAGGAGGAAUAAUGUCAAGGGAUUUGAAGGCCAACCCAGAUUGUGUAAUCUGGGAAAGAAUAAAAUCGAGAUUGCCUUGGAAGUCACAAAAAAUGAUUGUGUUGAGGUUUGAGAAGUGGAGGAGAAGACAAGGGAGAGAUUCCAAGGUUGGGUCAAUGAUUGUGAGUGUCACGAAAAAGAUUGGUGAUGGAAAGAAAUCUAUUGCAGACUAAAGAGAGAAGUUCGAAAUAGCUGUUGUGUUGUAAGAAAUUGCAAAUUAAUUCCCAGCAUUCUUUAGGUAAUUCCAACUUCAAUUUUCUUUAGUAAGAAAGAAAUGAAUUAGCAAGUUGCAGACUAAAGAGAAAAGGACUUUUGCUUCCUUCUUUUAAUCUUGGGAAGUAGCUGGAUAACGGGCAAGAUCAUCGAGAAAGUAAAUGGCUAUUUGAAAAUACGGUUAUGAUAUUGGCAUAGUGGAAAUAUCAGAGAAAUUUGUGGAAUAAUGAGGAAAUUCUCAAAACAAUACGCACGUUGGUCAGGAACAUAUUUCUAUAUGGAUAAGGGAGUGACUUCUGUUGUAAUCAAGAGGAAACACUUGAUGAAUUGACUGAUAUCAAAAUCUUGUUUAACAUCUGUUGAGAAAAAUUCAAGUGGAGGGACCAAAUGGAGUGAUGAAGCAGCUGCACGCAUUACGACAUCUUUUGGAAUUCACAGACGGAAAUUUUACAUAUCUAUCAAAUAUAGGUGCUAAAAGCCUUCAUUUUGCAUUUCCAUUGCUGGUGGUUCUAUUUCGUCAAGAGUUAUCAUUUAGUGAGGCUCUUCGUAUGUGAAAGGUUCGUGCUUUUAGUCCAUGCUGCGACAUAAAAAGGUAAUUUUGUUGUACGUAUAUAAGUAACAUAUACGUACCAAAGAGACUUACACUAUAGGUAAGCCUAUCGCAGGAUAAGUUGCAGAAUAGUAAACUUUGUACCAAAGAAACUUACACUAAUUUUACCUUCUUCAAUUUACACUAAUUUUACCUCUUCAAUUUACACUGUGCUAAAGCCUAUUGUACCUAGGAUAUCAGCAAACACUUGCAGAAUAGUUGAAUGUCUGACGUCAGUAACUAAUAAAUUUCUUUUUAUAAUGUCAUGAUUGCCUGAUUUAUUAGGGGAUGCAAUUUAGUUAUUAUUAUUAUAUUUUUUUUUACAUAUCUUUUGAUAUUAGGCGGAAGUUUUUGAAACGAAAGUUUUCUUAAAAAAGGUUAAAUGUUUAAAGUAGGGGUGUAAUUGAUUGAGUUUGAGCGG